UAAUAAACAAAAAUAAAAUAAUGAAGCUGUUUGAAGUACUGUUGAAGUAAUCUCUAAAGUGAGACAGUUUUCCUAAGAAAAUGUGGAGAAUUUUGACCUUAGAGAAGCUACAGAGACACUUGAACCCUGGAAAGGAAAGCUAAUAUUUCUUUAUUAUACAUUUAGGGGAAUACAUUGCACUCUUAAAUGAUGUAUUACUUAAGAUGUUGAAUUAAAUUAUGUAUUUAAGCAACACUUACUGGGACUUGGCUGAUGUUCAUCAGUCUUUGAAAAUAUUAUACUAAAAUUGAGUUGUUGUCAAGUGAAAAGUGCUCAUUUUAUGUAAAACCAUUAAGUAAUACUAUCUCCCCCUCAUCCAUUCUAAUAUAUUUUGAAACAUGUAAAGUGUUAUACUUUUAGGGGAAAAUACUGUAGAAUAGUGAAAAGAGUGUGGAAUUAAGACAGCUUGGGUUUAAGAUCUGACUUUAUAGCUGGGAGAUCUUGAACAAUUGAAUUAAGCUCUUUCCUGGCCUUCCUAAAGCACUAUUAUGAUUAAAUGAGAAUGUAUCUGGGAAAAAGCUCUGAAAACCAAGGAGUACUCUGUAAAUUUCUACUAUUUCCAAACUAAGUCCAGUCUCAAAUAUUAGCUGAGAUUACUUAGGAAAUACUCACUUGGGAAACGUGGGGAGUGGGGAAUAGUUCUUAAAAAAAAAAAAAAUCAUAAAAACUACCCUUUACUGAGUACUUAACUGAAUAACAGACAAAAUAGUAAGCAUUUUUAAUACAGUAUUUUGUUUAAUUCAUGCAAAAACUAAAUGAGGGAAGUAUCCAUAAUCGUAGUCCCUUACACGUGAAGGAGAGGUAAGGCUUAGUGACCUAUUCAAGUUCACAAACCUCGUUAGUGUCCAAAGUUUCAUGUUCCCAACUGUUACUCCACCAAUCUUUCCUUUACGAAAGAACAGAUAUAUAAUAAUGCAAAAUAUAAUAGUAUCUGAUUGUCCCAAGUGCUUUUUUAGACUUUAGGAAAGGAAGAGAUGAGGGGUUGAUUAAAAAUAUAUAAGCAUUGAAAAAGACCUAGAGGUUGAAUGAUCUAAGGUCAAAACAAGUUCCCAGUUCUGUAGAUGAUCAGGGUUUUUUUCUUGAUAUUGUUUCCUUUGAACUGGAACGAUUCGUAUGUGAUAGCUAUAAGAGUUAUACCUAUGUUUGUAUUAUUCUUGAGUUCAUAGAGCCUUUCACAUGUACAAUUUUAUCUUUUCCAAAUGGCCGCAUUUGUUACUCAGAUAACUCAGAGAAGAGGGAGUGUGGUAGGAGAAUCCUUCAGAUUAUUUAAGGAAAUACCUGAGCAGAAAUAGAAGAGGAACAAGACAUGUUUAGGAGAUGAUAAAGUCUGGGAGAAGGUUAGCCAGAUAGAACACAUCUCUCUGGUUUCUCUUCUGAGAUCAGCUGGGAGAAAGACCUGCUUUUAAAGGACUCUUGAUGAGGUUAGGCCCACUCAGAUAGUCUGGAUAAUCUCCCUGUUUUUAAGAUGAACUGAUUUGAACUAUAACUUUGCAAAAUCCCUUCACAUGGGCACCUAGGUUAGUGUUUAACUAAAAGAAAGUGUAUGUACACCAGGGCCAGGAAUGUUGGGAGGCCAUCUUAGAAUUCUGCCUUUUUAAGGAUUUAGUGAAUGGUGAAGUGAAAGUGAAUGAUGAACAGCUCCAUGGACUUUUAUUUUCUGCUUAACUGUAGACUACUGGUGACCUAAAUGUUAACUCAGUUCUUUGUCUCAUACUGUUUUAUCUAUUGGAAAGUGGGAACAAAUGUUAUAGAUAGGCCAUGUGGUCUUUUUGCUACCACCCAGGUGAACCAUGGUUUAAAACAAAACAAAAUAAAAAACUUGCAGAAUCCUGCUGUGGGUAUCCAAGAUACGUUUCUAGUGGCUAGAAUAAAUGGCUUUUUAAAAUUCAGUGUUAUAAAUAUAUCUACAUUCUCUGGCCUCCAAAAGCUACUUUAGGUGACAACAGAGCAGAACUAUAAGUAUUAAACCAUUUUCAACUAUAUAAGAAAUUUCAUCUGUAAACCUACGUCGUCUUAACAAUUCCACACUCCUCCCGCUUCACUACACUGGUUCUCUUGUGGUAAGUAUCAUCAUUUCACAUGUUUUGUAGAACUAGAAAGUGGCCUUGAAGAUGAUCUACUCCAGUGGUUUUAAACUUUUCUGACUGUAACCCACAGCAGAAAGAACAACAUUACAUCCCAUCGUACACAUAGGAAAUAGAUCCCUUGAGCUUCCAGAAAGCUCAGACAUGUGGAGCACUAAAACAUUUGGAGCACAUUGAGUUCUUUUUUAUGCAACCUACUAAAUUGAUAUUACAACCAAUGGUUUGAAAAACACUGAAGAUACCAUUGUUUAAAACCUUUUCUUUCAGCUCCUCUCCCAGCAGCAGAGGACUUCCUGUUCCUAUUUACUAAAGCUGGGAGAGGCUCUCUCUACCCUGAAGAAGCAAGGCACAGUCCUUUUGCUAUACCAAGGAACGAUAGUACCCGAGUUCUGGUUUCAGCUGUGGGGUUUUGAGCUGAAACACAGCCCCAGUACCAGUGGGGUAAGGUGGGAGACUUUAUUUGGAAAUUUACUUCCAAAUCAAGAUAAAAUUAUAGCUGUGAAAGUUGUUCGAGCUACCCUAGUUUUUGACAUCUAAACUGUCUGGCCUCAGCUUCUGCCCAUUGACUACCUUGAGUAGAGCUUGCCAUGUUUUUAUCUGCAGCUGUAAGAAAACAAGUGUUCUUACAUUUUGGAACUAUAAAACUUUAUUCUACUUUGAGGUUAUGAAAUCAUUUACCUUGCUGUUCAUGUACAGGGAUUACCCCUAAUCUUCAGGGCACGCAUUCCCAAGACCUUCAGUAGAUGCCUGAAACGGGGUAGUACUGUAUAAACAUACUGCAUUUUUUUCCCUAUACAUAUUCAUAAUAAAGUUUAUAAAUAAGGCAGAAUAAGAGAUUAACCACAACUAAUAAUGGAAAAGUUAUGUAACAGUGUACUGUAAUAAGUUACGUGAAUGUGGUCUCUUACUCUCCAAAUAUCUUUUUGUACUAUGUUCACCUAUUUUUGGACAGCAGUUGACUGUGGGUAACUCAAACAUGGAAAGCAAAACUGGGGGGAGGGGACUAUAAUCUCAGUAGUACUAGCCAAAAGUCUAAUGAAUAUGCCAAGACUAGUAAAAUAUAUUUUUUCUUUAUAUCUGAUUUGUUUUUCUAAUCAUACUUCCUAGAAAAAGGUGAUGCAUUUAUAAGAAAUUAAGAUUAUACUAAAUCUACCUUUUACCGUGUCCCCCAGGUCAACCAAUUUUAUGAGUGCAUAGUAUUCCAUUAUAUACUUGCACCAGACUCGCGCUAAUCCAAACGAAACAAGUAAUAAAAUACAGAGGUCAUUUGCACUUGUGCAAGUUUUUCUGCAGGAUCCAUUCUACAAGUGGGAUUGGAGGGGCACCAUGUAUAUGCAGUUGUAAUUUGAUAAAUAUUGCAAACCGCCCUCCAGAGCAGGUAGUUUAUAAUCUUACUAGCUAAAUAUGAGCUUUUAACUAGCAUUGUUGUAAAGUUUUUUGAUAUACGACAAUCUUUUAGGUGGAAAAUUCAAUUCCUGUGAAAAUGGACAUUUCCAUCUUCAGAGCCAUUUGUAUAUUCUGCAAACUGUUUCUUUUAAGUAUUUUUCUGUUGGGCUUUUGGUGGUUUGUAGGUAAGGGGUGUGUGUGUGUGUGUGU